rnacentral:rRNA from 1 species
GAUGAACGCUAGCUACAGGCUUAACACAUGCAAGUCGAGGGGUAACGAGAGGAAAGCUUGCUUUCCUUGUCGACGACCGGCGCACGGGUGAGUAACGCGUAUCCAACCUGCCCCCAACUAGGGAAUAACCUUGCGAAAGUAGACUAAUACCCUAUAAUUUCCUCAGAUGUCAUCUGACGAGGAAUAAAGAUUUAUCGGUUGUUGAUGGGGAUGGGUCUGAUUAGCUUGUUGGCGGGGUAACGGCCCACCAAGGCAACGAACAAGAGGGGUUCUGAGAGGAAGGUCCCCCACAUUGGAACUGAGACACGGUCCAAACUCCUACGGGAGGCAGCAGUGAGGAAUAUUGGUCAAUGGGCGGAAGCCUGAACCAGCCAAGUAGCGUGCAGGAUGACGGCCCUAUGGGUUGUAAACUGCUUUUAUACAGGAAUAAAGUUAGCCACGUGUGGUUAUUUGUAGGUACUGUAUGAAUAAGGACCGGCUAAUUCCGUGCCAGCCGCCGCCGUAA